UACGAAGGGGGCUAGCGUUGCUCGGAAUCACUGGGCGUAAAGGGCGCGUAGGCGGGCUCUUAAGUCAGGGGUGAAAGCCCAAGGCUCAACCUUGGAAUUGCCUUUGAUACUGAGGGCCUUGAGACCGGAAGAGGUCGGCGGAACUGCGAGUGUAGAGGUGAAAUUCGUAGAUAUUCGCAAGAACACCAGUGGCGAAGGCGGCCGACUGGUCCGGUUCUGACGCUGAGGCGCGAAAGCUAGGGGAGCAAACGGG
rnacentral:rRNA from 1 species